rnacentral:lncRNA from 1 species
GGAGCAGAGGCUGAGAGCCCUUAGAGCAAGGGCGUGCAGCGUGAGCACCAGUGCUGGGUACCAGUACCACAACCCGAGCAGAGAGCGGGGCUGCCUGGCAGAGAUGCCAGUGUCACCUGACUGCCUCUGGACAUUAGACUCUCGUCCCCGUCUUGUAAGUGAGAGUCAAACAGGUCCACUUCUCUUGGAUUUUAGAAGCCCUGGCUGUUCUCGAAAGAUCCAAGGAAGUCGCAGCUGAGCCAUUUUUAAAUUACCUGGAGACGGAAACCAGCUCUGGGAGCCCGAGGAACAGCCUCCGUUGGCAACUUGCACCUCCUCUUAAGGAGAGCCUAGCCCUUUCGCCAAGACCCCAAAGGCCGAUCCAAGUGCGUCAUAAAGCCUUGAGAAUAACGCCAAGUUCACUGAGGAUUUCGUCGGAGGCUGGAGGACAGGGCUGCACACACAGCACAGAGCAAAACUCCGUCAAAAUGCUACACGGCUUCUUCUGUUCUCUCAUCCUGCCUUAGAAUUUCCUUCUUGACCGCUGGCCCCUGCCUGCACCCAACGAUCAGUGUCUUCCCUUCACUCCCCCCUCCCCGCCCCUUUGCAAGCAGAGCCCCCCUGGUGGGUCCCACUUGGCAGAUACCUCCCUCUCUCCCAUCAGAAGACCCUCUUUGGGAGGCUUAGCAUUUGCUCUCCUUGGUUUUGGCUGCGGCCGAUGUGAGGAAGUCAUUUUUCACUCUCAUGGCGCUGUCUUUCUCUUCCCCUUUUCUGACCUUAAAAACACAAAUGUUACUUUCCGCCACCGAAUCAUCAAGCGUGAACUCAGAGUCUCUAGAAUUUGAACAGAAGCAAAUGGCGAAAGAGGCAAGGCUGGAGAAGUAACUGAUCAUCUCUUGCCUAGUGAGACCCGGCAGGAAUGGACAGGACGCCCACCAGCCUGCAGCAGGAUGCUCGGAUGGGGCUGGCCCCUGGCUACGGUCUGGUGACCUAGUUUAGCCUCAUUUAGGAGUGUCCCAGGCCGGGCACCUGAUCAGGUGUCAACACAUGGGUGAUGAACCAAUGCUCGUGGGCACCCCGUCUCACCUCUCUGCCUCAGUCCCCUCACCUGUCAAAGGGGGCAAUGACCCCUUUCCUGUGUCUACUCCUCGCAGCUGUGAUGCGUGUCAGAUGAGUUCCUGGAGGUUUAGGCAUCAAGGCAGCGUAAAGAAAUCAAAUCCUCACCUGAGCCCUCGAUACCGCGAGCCCUGGUGAAAGUGUGGGAAAGGUACUAGACUUUGGAGCCACCGCCUCCCUGCCCCUUCCUUCCCUCCCUGAAUCGUUUUCCUUCCACUUGCUCAGGCUCUUCUCCUUCCCAUCUGCCCUCCUCUCCCUGUACCGAGGGCUCGUCUGGGUAAAGGAUCAGCUGUCAGCCGUGUACACCUGAAUGCCCGUUUCAACGCACCUGUGCCCUGUGGGCUUUAACCCUGGUCUCCGAGUGUGAUGAGGAAGGCUUUGUGGCAGUUGGUGCUCAUGCUCCAGUAGGCACCAGAUGGCAGCGUCCUGGGCCAGGCCCCGCGACUUUGGUUCUGCAGGUUUUUAGUCUACCUUUCGUAUGAGCGAUCCAAGUGGUUCUGCUGCAGGCGCUCUGCUCGGGGAACAUAGAAAAACACUGAUUUCUGGAGUCGGGGACUUUAGGAGGAGAUAGGAGAGGUGUGUCAGCGGGGGCAGGGGAUCCUAUGAGCGCCCCCCCCAAACAGCCCCCAGUCUUUCCAGGGCAGGUCUCCUGCAGGCAUCAGAGAAAACCAUCACCGUGUCAAGAAGAAUGACAAUGGCUGCCAUUGCUCAAAGCCUUUUUAUCCCAGCCCUCCCUCCCUAAAUCCUGGGACAGCAGAUAAUACAGAGCCUCGUCCUGGGGGACAAAGCUGAGGCCUCCAGAGGCUGAGUGAUUGGUCUCACGCAUCACCCCCACUUCCCAAUGAUUGCAGCAGAUGAGACCCCAGAGAUGCUGCCCCCUCCACCCCGACCCUCGGCCAGUGUGCAUAUUGCAUCACUGCUCAUGGGAGCAGAACUGUCCGAGGGCUCCUCCUGGAUCCCCGCUUCACCUCAGCCACCCUGAUGGGGUCCGGCACGUGAUAGGAAGACGCAGGGGUCCUCUCGAACCUCACUCUCCUCCUCUAAUCCUCCCCAAUCCUAUUCUUAAAUAUCUCUGGCACCCACCCAAUCCUCCCCACCCCCAUCCUCCCCCCAAGUCUUGGUCCGGCAGCCAGCUCUGCUCUCCCAGGCCCCCGGGCUGGUAUAGCAGACACCACGCAGGGUGUCUUCCCGGCCGCCGUCGCCCUUUCCUGGGCAACAUGGCUGAGAGCAUGGCUGAGACUCCAUUUAUCACGUCUCCCCUAACGCGCUCUUGGCCCUGGCAUAAACGAUUGAUGCAGAGGUUGGCCCCUGGCCCGGGAUGGACCACUCAAAGUCCUUCACAAAGAGGGGGCAGUCCCUCCUGAGCAGCAGGCCCUGCGGUGAAGGGAGGCCUCCCAGUGGUUGGCACCAUAUUCCCUCCAGCUUGGCCAGGAGAAGCAGCCAGGAGGCUGGGGGAGCAGGUGCGUCCAGGAGGCGAUGGGGCCUGAGAACGGCCAGUGGCCUCGGCGAGGCCGGGUCCCUGAUAACCUGACACGGGUGGCUCAGUGGUGUGGUGGAUGCUGUAGCCUGUGGGGAGGGGGCUCGAGAGGGGGGAGGGAGGGAGAGGCAGCGUGGAUCACUCUGGAAGCAAAGGGCAGAGUGGCCCAAGCGUGGGGCUCCAUACAGAGGUGGAUCCAGAGGGGCUGGUGAGCGCGUUAAAGGUGAGAGGUGUACCCGCUUGUUUGUACGCUCAUGACAGUGACCCAGUCGAGGCGGGAGAUGAGACGACUCUGAAGAGAGCGGGGGUUUGUGGAGGUUUGUCCCCUGCAAGUGCGGGGGUGGGAUCUGACAUCGACACAGGGCAGGUGGGGGAGCUGGGUUUCAUCCCCAGGAAGAAGAGGAUUGGAGCAGAGAGGCAGGAGGCUGGGACGUGCUGGUGCUGGGGUGGUCGGACGCUUCCGCUGGCUUCGGUGUUCGCAGUGAGCUGGGGGCGGAGCGGAGGCUUGAGUCAGGGCAGAAGCAGGUAGGAAAUAGCUGGGAGAAUGAUCUAGAGCCGCAUCGAGGCAUUGCCAGGCCCACCACGCCCACUGGGGACGAGGAAACAGAAAAGAAAGUGAGACGUGAGCAGGGGUGAGCCCCGCGUCACGUCCUCCUGUCCCCUUUUCGGCUUCCCCAGAAGGGCCCCCUGCCCUGGCCCCAUGUCCUGGGGAGGCAGAAGAGGAAGCCACCCUCCGCAGCAGGGGGGGCCCAGGUAAAGUCACCUCGGCCUCCCUCAGCACCCUCCGUGUGCCCUGCUGGCCUGUGUGGCAGACCUUCCCGCCGCCCCCUCCCCAACCCGUGUCACCCCCUCCGUCCGAGCUGAGUCUCCCCUCCAGAGGUGGUUCUGGUGCCCCAACAGUGAAACAGGCUGCCUUGCGGGGUAGCCCGCCCCGUCUCCCCGCAGAGGUGGCGGGUGAGUAGGGAGGGUAAAUCUUGGAUUGGGGGGGGCUGCAUUAGCUGACCCUGGGGUCUGAGAUGUGUGUUUCGUUCCAGGCUCAGACACUCUCUGGCUGGACAGCAGUCAAGUUCAUUCACUACUCCGAACCUGAGUUUCCUUUCUGUGAGACGGGGGACAGUGUCUGGACUUGGCUACGAGGUGCUGCUGGGGUUCAGUGGGCUCAGGCAAGCGCUUGGCACAGCAAACUCUCAAAGCGGUAGCUGUUUCUUUCAAUCCUAUAGGGUUUCAGCCUGAAAUAAACUAUCAGGAAAGGAGGACCAUUUAUCAGAGAUGGGAUGUGUGCUGGUGGAGCAAGGAGAGGAGAUGGGGCUGGAGGUGAGCAGGCUGGCUUGUGGCCUCGCCCCUCAGCAGCGUGCUCUCGGGUGGGUCAGGAUUGUGUGCACCCCACUCUGCCGCUUGGCCAAGGCCAAGUCCUCUUAGGAGCAACAUCUGCCCAGCAUUCCUUUUUUUUUUUUUUUUUUUUUUUUUUUUUGUCUUUCGUCGGGCCGCACCCAUGGCAUAUGGAGGUUCCCAGGCUAGGGGUCCAAUCGGAGCUGUAGCCGCCAGCCUACACCACAGUCACAGCAACGCUGGAUCCGAGUCUUGUCUGUGACCUACACCACAGCUCAGGGCAACGCCGGAUCCUUAACCCACGGAGCGAGGCCAGGGAUCGAACCCGCAUCCUCACGGAUCCUAGUCGGAUUCGUUACCGCUGAGCCACGAUGGGACUCCUCUUCCCAGCGCUCCUAACAGGUGUAGACACUCCGCUGUUUCCAAAGCGCCUUUGCACGGGCUGUCUCCUUGGAUCCACCCAACCACUCCUUCCUGUGCUGGGAGUAUGAUCAGUUCCAUCUUUCAGACAAGGAAGGUGAGGCGGGGAGCGAUCACAGAGCUGGGAGUUAGCUCAGGUCUUCUGCUCCUGAGCCUCGCAACACUCUUCCAGAAGCCACGCUGAGCUGCUCUGGAUAAACUCGGCUCUGUGGGCAAAUGCAGGGAGGGAACUGUGGAGCUGCCGGGGAGUUGCCCGGGAGUCACGGGGUCUCUGAGCCCCACCUGCAGGGGAGGACAGGGCUGGAUGUUCUCCGAAGAGGACCCCUCCCCCACCCCCCACUUUUCUCUGAGCCACUGCAGGACAUGGGUGUGGCUGCCCCCUGGGCCAGAACAAUGCUCCAAGCCAGCCCGGCUCAGGACUCGGUGUUCCCACCCUACUGCCCGGUCCCCUGGCCAGCAUGCCUGGCUGCUCCCCAGACAGCAGGCAAACAAGCCUCUAUUGAUUCUGGGUCAUGCCUAGAAGAAUAUGCCCCUUUGUUGCAUGUCCUUGCCCGCAGGAGAGGCGUUCAGGUAGGAAGCCGCCCUGUCAUGGCUCCUUCCCCAGGGACCCCAGAAGGAAGCGAGGGACAGGCUCCCUCCCACGUCCCCAGGGGAGGCCUCCUCGUCCGCUCUCUCUCCGUCACUUCCCAAGACCUUCGCCCACUCUCCCAUCACCCUGGUCUCCCGGCCCUCACUCGGGGGCGGGCCAGUCCCACACCGCCGAGUGUUUAAAUCCUCCCCACUUUUCCAGGCCCUGCUUGACCACCUGCUGCUCCACAAAUCCCCCUAGAGUGGGCGCUCGUCAAGAAAGGAAACAUGGGGAGUUCCCACUGUGGAUCAGGGAGUUAAGAACCUGACUAGUAUCCAUGAGGGUGCAGGUACGAUCCCUGGCCUUGCUCAGUGUAUGAAGGAUACAGCACAAAUAUGGCUUGGAUCCCACGUUGCAGGCCAGCAGCUGCAGCUCCGAUUCCACCCCUUGCCCGGGGAACUUCCAUAUGCUACAGGUGUGGCCCUAAAAAAAAAAAAAAA